rnacentral:rRNA from 1 species
UAAUACGUAGGUGGCGAGCGUUGUCCGGAUUUACUGGGCGUAAAGGGCUUGUAGGCGGUCCGUUAAGUCCGAUGUGAAAUCUCCCGGCUCAACUGGGAUAGGUCAUUGGAUACUGGCGGACUAGAGGGGGGUAGAGGAGAGCAGAAUUCCUGGUGUAGCGGUGAAAUGCGUAGAUAUCAGGAGGAAUACCAGUGGCGAAGGCGGCUCUCUGGGCCUACCCUGACGCUGAGGAGCGAAAGCGUGGGGAGCAAACCGGA